CUACGGGGGGCUCCAGUGAGGAAUAUUGCACAAUGGGGGGAACCCUGAUGCAGCAACGCCGCGUGGAGGAUGACGCAUUUCGGUGUGUAAACUCCUUUUAUAUGUCAAGAAAAUGACGGUAGCAUAUGAAUAAGCACCGGCUAACUCCGUGCCAGCAGCCGCGGUAAUACGGAGGGUGCAAGCGUUACUCGGAAUCACUGGGCGUAAAGGGUGCGUAGGCGGGUUGGAAAGUCAGGUGUGAAAUCCUACAGCUUAACUGUAGAACUGCACUUGAAACUUCUAAUCUAGAGUAUGGGAGGGGGAGAUGGAAUUAGUGGUGUAGGGGUAAAAUCCGUAGAUAUCACUAGGAAUACCUAAAGCGAAGGCGAUCUCCUGGAACAUUACUGACGCUAAGGCGUGAAAGCGUGGGGAGCAAACAGGAUUAGAUACCCUAGUAGUC
rnacentral:rRNA from 1 species